ACCCAGCUCAGGCCAGCUCAACCCUGCUCAGCCCAACCUAGGCCAGUUCAACCCAUUUCAGCCCAGUUCAGCUCAGUUCACGCAGCUCAGCCCAGCUCAGCUCAUCUCAGACCAGUUCAGCUCAGCUCAGCCAAGCUCAUCUCAUCUCAGCCCAGUUCAGCUCAGCUCAGCCAAGCUCAUCUCAUCUCAGCCCAGUUCGGCUCAGCUCAGCCAAGCUCAUCUCAUCUCAGCCCAGUUCAGCUCAGCUCAGCCAAGCUCAUCUCAUCUCAGCCCAGUUCAGCUCAGCUCAGCCCAGUUCAGCCCAGCUCAGUCCAGCCUAGCCCAGUUCAGCUUAGUUCAGCUCAGCUUACCUAUCUCAGUCCAGUUCAGCUCAGUUCACCCAACCUAGCCCAGCUCAGCUCCGUUCAGCCUAGCUCAGCUCAGCUCACCUAGCUCAGCCCAGUUCACCUAGCUCAGCCCAGUUCAGCCCAGCUCAGUCCAUUUUAGCUUGAUUGAACCCAGCUCAGCCUACUUCAGCUUAGCUCUACCCAGUUCAGCUCAGCUUGCCUAGACCAGCCCAGUUCAGCCCAGUUCAGCCCAGCUCACCCAGCUCAGGCCAGCUCAACCCUGCUCAGCCCAGCCUAGGCCAGUUCAACUCAGUUCAGCCCAUUUCAGCCCAGUUCAGCUCAGUUCACCAAGCUCAGCCCAGCUCAGCUCAUCUCAGCCCAGUUCAGCUCAGCUCAUCUCAGCCUGGUUCAGCCCAGCUCAGUCCAUUUUAGCCUAAUUGAACCCAGCUCAGCCAGUUCAGGUCAGCGCUACCCAGUUCAGCUCAGCUUGCCUAGCCCAGCCCAGUUCAGUCCGGUUCAGCCCAGUCCAGCCCAGUUCACCCAGCUGACCUAGCUCAGGCCAGCUCAACCCUGCUCAGCCCAGCCUAGGUCAGUUCAGCCCAUUUCAGCCCAUUUCAGCUCAGUUCACCCAGCUCAGCCCAGCCCAGCUCAGCUCAGCUCAUCUAAGCCUGGUUCAGCCCAGCUCAGCCUAGCCUAGCCCAGCUCAGCCCAGUUCAGCUCAGCUCAGCCCAGCCCAGCUCACCUAGCUCAGCCCAGUUCAGCCCAGCUCAGUCCAUUUUAAUCUAAUUGAACCCAGCUCAGCCUAGUUCAGCUCAGCUGUACCCAGUUCAGCUCAUCUUGCCUAGCCCAGCCCAGUUCAGUCUGGUUCAGCCCAGUCCAGCCCAGUUCACCCAGCUGACCUAGCUCAGGCCAUCUC
ensembl:lncRNA